UACGGAGGGUGCGAGCGUUGUUCGGAAUUACUGGGCGUAAAGGGCGCGUAGGCGGCCGAUCAAGUCAGGUGUGAAAGCCCACGGCUUAACCGUGGAAGUGCAUCUGAAACUGGUUGGCUUGAGUACUGGAGGGGGAGGUGGAAUUCCCGGUGUAGAGGUGAAAUUCGUAGAUAUCGGGAGGAAUACCGGUGGCGAAGGCGACUUCCUGGACAGAUACUGACGCUGAGGCGCGAAAGCGUGGGGAGCAAACAGG
rnacentral:rRNA from 1 species